rnacentral:rRNA from 1 species
AUGAUUGGUUUAGAUAGGAGUGACAGUUUUACUCACUUGGUGGAAAGGGUAGUUAACCGGUUGAAGGGUUGGAAUGAGAAAUUGCUAUCACUUGGGGGUAAGGAAAUUUUAUUAAAAGCUGUUAUCCAGUCUAUCCCUGUUUUUUCAAUGGGUGUGUUUAAAAUCCCAAAGAAGGUUUGUAAAGAAAUCACAGAUGCCAUGUCUGCCUUUUGGUGGGGUGAUACAGAGGCGGAAAAUAAAAUGCACUAGUUAGCACGGUGGAAGAUGUGCAUACCAAAAGUUAGGGGAGGCUUGGGAUUUAGAGAUCUCCAUGCUUUUAACUUAGAGCCUCUCCAAUAG